GGUAGCCGGCCUGAGAGGGCGACCGGCCACACUGGGACUGAGACACGGCCCAGACUCCUACGGGAGGCAGCAGUGGGGAAUAUUGGGCAAUGGAGGAAACUCUGACCCAGCGACGCCGCGUGCGGGAUGAAGGCCUUCGGGUUGUAAACCGCUUUCAGUAGGGAAGAAGCGAAAGUGACGGUACCUACAGAAGAAGCACCGGCUAACUAUGUGCCAGCAGCCGCGGUAAUACAUAGGGUGCAAGCGUUGUCCGGAAUUAUUGGGCGUAAAGAGCUCGUAGGUGGUUUGAUACGUCGGGUGUGAAAUUCAGGGGCUCAACCCCUGACCUGCAUUCGAUACGGUCAAGCUAGAGUUUGGUAGGGGA
rnacentral:rRNA from 1 species